rnacentral:rRNA from 1 species
GUGGGGAAUAUUGGACAAUGGGCGAAAGCCUGAUCCAGCCAUGCCGCGUGUGUGAAGAAGGUCUUCGGAUUGUAAAGCACUUUAAGUUGGGAGGAAGGGUAGUAACCUAAUACGUUGCUACUUUGACGUUACCGACAGAAUAAGCACCGGCUAACUUCGUGCCAGCAGCCGCGGUAAUACGAAGGGUGCAAGCGUUAAUCGGAAUUACUGGGCGUAAAGCGCGCGUAGGUGGUUUUGUAAGUUGGAGGUGAAAUCCCCGGGCUCAACCUGGGAACUGCCUCCAAAACUGCAUGACUAGAGUACGGUAGAGGGUAGUGGAAUUUCCUGUGUAGCGGUGAAAUGCGUAGAUAUAGGAAGGAACACCAGUGGCGAAGGCGACUACCUGGACUGAUACUGACACUGAGGUGCGAAAGCGUGGGGAGCAAACAGGAUUAGAUACCCCUGUAGUCC